UUUCAUCUCUAUGGCUGUCAGAGGUGGGCGGCUUUGACUGAGGAGCUGCUGGAGCUCGUGCUUGGACGCAACUGGCUGUGGGUUCUCGAUGGUACCAUGGAGGAUCACAGUCCAUCCAGAUCCGGCGAAGAUUAAUGAUGGUGGCUUUCCUGGGAGCAUCUGCAGUAACUGCAAGUACUGGUCUUUUGUGGAAUAGGGACCAUGCAGAAUCUCCACCAUGUGUAGACAACCUAAAAAGUGACAUUGGUGAUAAAGGGAAGACUAAAGAUGAAGGGGAUGUUUGUAACCAUGAAAAAAGACUGCAGAUCUUGCACCUCAUCCAGAAGAGAAAAAGAAGAAACGUUCUGGAUUCAGAGACAGAAAAGUGAUGGAAUAUGAGAAUAGAAUUCGAGCCUACUCCACACCAGACAAAAUCUUCCGAUAUUUUGCCACCUUGAAAGUCAUCAGUGAGCCUGGUGAAGCAGAAGUAUUUAUGACGCCAGAAGAUUUUGUGCGAUCCAUAACACCCAAUGAAAAACAACCAGAACACUUGGGUCUGGAUCAAUAUAUAAUAAAACGUUUUGAUGGAAAGAAAAUUUCCCAGGAACGAGAAAAAUUUGCUGAUAAAGGAAGUAUAUUUUACACCCUUGGAGAAUGUGGGCUCAUAUCCUUUUCAGACUACAUUUUCCUUACAACUCUUCUUUCCACUCCUCAGAGAAAUUUUGAAAUUGCCUUCAAGAUGUUUGAUUUGAAUGGAGAUGGAGAAGUAGAUAUGGAGGAGUUUGAACAGGUUCAGAGCAUCAUUCGCUCCCAAACCAGUAUGGGUAUGUGCCACAGAGAUCGUCCGACUACUGGCAACACCCUCAAGUCUGGCUUGUGUUCAGCCCUCACAACCUACUUUUUUGGAGCUGAUCUAAAGGGAAAUCUGACAAUCAAAAACUUCCUCGAAUUUCAGCGUAAACUUCAGCAUGAUGUUCUGAAGCUCGAGUUUGAACGCCAUGACCCUGUGGAUGGGAGAAUUACUGAGAGGCAGUUUGGUGGCAUGCUACUUGCCUACAGUGGGGUGCAGUCCAAGAAGCUGACCGCCAUGCAGAGGCAGCUCAAGAAGCACUUCAAAGAAGGAAAGGGUCUGACAUUUCAGGAGGUGGAGAACUUCUUUACUUUCCUAAAGAACAUUAAUGAUGUGGACACUGCACUGAGUUUUUACCAUAUGGCUGGAGCAUCUCUUGAUAAAGUGACCAUGCAGCAGGUGGCCAGGACAGUGGCUAAAGUGGAGCUCUCAGAUCACGUGUGUGAUGUGGCGUUUCCACGCUUUGUGAUGGCAAUGGUGAGCUGAGCAAUAAAGAAUUUGUUUCCAUCAUGAAGCAAUGGCUGAUGAGAGGCCUGGAAAAGCCUAAAGACAUGGGUUUCACUCGCCUCAUGCAGGCCAUGUGGAAAUGUGCACAGGAAACUGCUUGGGACUUCGCUUUACCCAAACAGUAACCCCACACUGCAAGAGGGGACCUCUCCACCCCCAGUACCCCGGAUCCCCUCCGCAGAGUCUCAGCAGAGCCCUUUGUUCUGCUACUUCUGGAAGUAGUGUCCCUUCCUUCCGGGGAUGACCUCAGGACUCUGUCGGUUUCCUCUCUUCACCCUUCCCCGUCCCCGUGUUCUGCUGGGCUCUGAUUCUGCCCGAUGAUUAUCCCCAUAGGUUCUCAAAAACAUGAACAAGUCUGAAAAGCUCAGACAUUUGGCAGCCUAAACAGCACUACCCAUUCAAGCACCCGGUGGAUAAAGAAUGCGGGGAACCAUCCACACACCUGCCAACCCUGGGAAGCAUCCAGUUCUCAAAUCGUUUUUGCUAUGGAUUUAUAUUAACAAGAACAUUCCUUGCUUUCCCUCCUGCUGGUAUUUUAAAGCCACAAGUAGGGAAGAUAUCUGGUAGGCAGAAAGAAGUCUGUGAUGAUAAAUGAGGAUGAGGAUGACCUAGGCACCCUACGCUAGCGUGGCCCCAGGAAGGAUCUGUGUUAGUCCCUGGGAUGGCUCCGAGGUCUGCUCUAGGAAGGCAGCAUGCUCAGUGGGAACACAGCAAGAUUCAGAAUUUAAAGUAGUUGCUUCAUGGCUCUCUGCACUCUCUUUUCUUCCUCGCAGCCUCCCUAAGAUGACUCCAGUGUGACUCUGUGCUUAGUGAGCAAUAGUGAUUGAGCUCAUGUUCC